rnacentral:rRNA from 1 species
CCUACGGGUGGCAGCAGUGGGGAAUAUUGGACAAUGGGCGAAAGCCUGAUCCAGCCAUGCCGCGUGUGUGAAGAAGGCCUUCGGGUUGUAAAGCACUUUCAGUGGGGAAGAAAGCCUUGGGGCUAAUACCCUCGAGGAAGGACAUCACCCACAGAAGAAGCACCGGCUAACUCCGUGCCAGCAGCCGCGGUAAUACGGAGGGUGCGAGCGUUAAUCGGAAUUACUGGGCGUAAAGCGCGCGUAGGCGGUCUGAUAAGCCGGUUGUGAAAGCCCCGGGCUCAACCUGGGAACGGCAUCCGGAACUGUCAGGCUAGAGUGCAGGAGAGGAAGGUAGAAUUCCCGGUGUAGCGGUGAAAUGCGUAGAGAUCGGGAGGAAUACCAGUGGCGAAGGCGGCCUUCUGGGCUGACACUGACGCUGAGGUGCGAAAGCGUGGGUAGCAAACAGGAUUAGAUACCCUAGUAGUC